rnacentral:rRNA from 1 species
UACGAAGGGGCUAGCGUUGCUCGGAAUCACUGGGCGUAAAGGGUGCGUAGGCGGGUCUUUAAGUCAGGGGUGAAAUCCUGGAGCUCAACUCCAGAACUGCCUUUGAUACUGAAGAUCUUGAGUCCGGGAGAGGUGAGUGGAACUGCGAGUGUAGAGGUGAAAUUCGUAGAUAUUCGCAAGAACACCAGUGGCGAAGGCGCUCACUGGCCCGGUACUGACGCUGAGGCACGAAAGCGUGGGGAGCA